rnacentral:rRNA from 1 species
GAUGAACGCUAGCGGCAGGCCUAAUACAUGCAAGUCGAACGGUGUCUUCGGACAUAGUGGCGCACGGGUGCGUAACACGUAUGCAACCUACCUUACAUUGGGGGAUAGCCUUUCGAAAGGGAGAUUAAUACCGCAUAAGACAGUAGCUGGGCAUCCAGCAGCUGUUAAAGAUUUAUCGAUGUAAGCUGGGCAUGCGUCCAAUUAGCUAGUUGGUGAGGUAACGGCUCACCAAGGCAAUGAUUGGUAGGGGAACUGAGAGGUCAAUCCCCCACACUGGCACUGAGAUACGGGCCAGACUCCUACGGGAGGCAGCAGUAGGGAAUAUGGGGCAAUGGACGCAAGUCUGACCCAGCCAUGCCGCGCGCAGGAUGAAGGCGUUAUGCGUUGUAAACUGCUUUUAUACAGGAAGAAACGACUCUUGCGAGAGGCAUUGACGGUACUGUAUGAAUAAGCACCGGCUAACUCCGUGCCAGCCGCCGCUGUAAUAC